GAGUGGAGCCGCACGCACAGCCUGCUGCUCUUCAGAGGGCUCUCUCCCUGAACAGCCUUGAUCUUGUCACUGAAAUAACUUCUUGCCAUUUCUAAGGAGACUUCCUGGCAGGAAUAUUUAGCGGUGACGGCUUCCUGGGUUCUCUCCCUGUGUUAUUACGCAGCGUGAGAUGGAGAAGGCCGGUGCUCACAGCCCUGGGACAGACAGCUUCAGAACCCGUUACCCUACACUGCAGCAACGCAGCUAUGCAGGGGAUGCACUUUUUCUGGAGGCCAGAAGGCUUAAAAUCAAGAUGUUCUUCUGGAAGUUCUAGGGGACAAUUGAUUUCCGUGCCGCUUACAGCUUCCAGAGGCUUCCCGUGUUCCUCCUCUGGGCCCGACGUUGUACUGACUCUGCUUCCAUCCUCUCCUCUCCUCUCUGACUCUUUCUCCCUCCUUCACCGAGAAGAACCCUGGUGACUACAUUGGGUCCACCCGGAUAAUCUCCCAUCUCAAAAUCCUUGAUUCAGUCAGACCUGCAGAGUCUCUUUUGCAUGGAAGGUCUCUGAGGAUCUUUUGGCAGCACAGAGCGUGGCGUGGCUUGGGUAAACCAUAGGUCGGCAAUGUGUAAAGUUUUAAAGACUUUCGAGCUCGGGAGCGGAGAUGAGCACCCCUUACUGGCAUGGAAUUCAAGACGGUUAUUUCCCCAACUCCAACUGUGAAAGACCAAGAAGGGUAAGCAGGCGGAUACAGAAUAAAGCUUUUUUGGGGGGGGUCUUGUAUCAGAGUCACUGGAUUGAAAACGCUGACAUUUGGUGGUUGGACUUGACUCCUGAAUGUUAUAGCCCUUGGUCAGGCUCAGCGCUCUGGCCAACUGUUCCAUGGCCAACGGCGGGGGCGGCCGUCCUGACUCCACUCUUGUGACACCAACCUCUCAGGCUCUCCUGAAUUGUCAAGAGGUACCGACCAGAAGGGAAGUCAGUCGACAACUUCAGCCUCAUAUGUUUGUCAUCAGCCCUGAAAAGGAACAGUCACGUUUGGAGAGCUCUCACAUCUCCUCCAAAUGCUGGUUUUCUAGGUGUGAAAACAGGAUUUGGAAAGGUCAUGCCACUUGCCCAAGACGCGCAGAGUGGCAACUGGAGGGCCCAGGGUUCGGGGGACCUGGAUUUCCGGGGAGAAGCUCCUUCCAUUAAGUGGAAGAGGCCGGGAAGUUGCGGAAUAACUAUGAGCAGUGGUGGCUCGCCGCCGCCACAAGAGUGGCCAGCCUCUCCUGAUUUGCAUGAUUAAUGCAUUUUUUCUCAUUUGCAUUUUUGAGUAUAGUACAAGCCCUAGUGUUUCUCCAACUUUAGUGUGCAUCAAAAUCUCCCCAAAGAAUUGUUAAAACACAGAUGCCUGGGCCCCAUCCCCAAAGAUUCUUACUCAGUAGGUCUGGGGUGGCACUUGCAAAUUUGCAUUUUUACAAGUUUGUAGGCGACCCAGAUGGCGCUGGACCUCGCUUAGGGAAGUGCUCCUCCAGCCCCCGUCUGUCUCCCAGGAGGAAGGUAGUAGAGAUUAAACUGGAGGAAGAUUAUAGUCAGCUCCCACCACGCAAAGUACAAGUAUGCGAUAAGACAGCAAGCAGUCCUACGAGCCAUACUGCGGGCUUAAGAAAUAAUCUUCCAGGGCCUCCUGGGUGGCUCAGUGGUUGAGCAUCUGCUUUUCAGCUCCCGGGCGUGAUCCCAGUUUAGGGGUCGAGUCCCACAUCGGGCUCCCUGCAU